rnacentral:rRNA from 1 species
AUGUUUGCAUGGACUAAUCUUACCGUCCCAGGAGAAUGUAUGUCCCCAGUUCGGAACCCAUUGUCCAGUGUCUCUGUAACCGCGGCUUCGAUUCUCUUUGCAGCACUUUCUACACCAAGGCCAUAUUUCAAUAGCAUCGCCGCACUAAGAAUUGUAGCUAACGGGUUUGCCUUGUCCUGCACUCAGCAGAUUGUAGAAGGGAGCAGAAUUUUGAACAGAGUUAGACAACAAAAGGCAGCGCAGUAUUAUCCAAGGAUUGUUCUGAAUUUAGGAGCUAUGUCAACCUGGCCAGCAAUGUCAGGAGCAGAGCCAUGA